AAAAAAAAAAAAAAAACUUUAUCAUUACUUUCAACAUGUAUAUUUUUCAACUCAAUUAAUAUAGAAUUAAAUUCAUCUAAGUGAGAUUUUAUAAGUGCACCUUCAGCCAUGCUGAGAGUAAACAAGUGCUCCUUGAGAUGAAGCUUGUUGGCAAGACUUUUUGUCAUGUACAAAGACUUCAAUUUAAGCCACAAACUUGAAGUGGUCUUCUCGUGAAUAACUUCACAGGGAACUUUUUUAGAAAAGCAAAUUUGGAUUGUUGGCAGUGCUUUCUCAUCCAACUCAUCAAAUUCUGCGUCUUUCAUAAUAGAUGGUUUCGUUGACUUACCAAGCAAAAGUUUUAGUGGUAACCCAUUUUGGGUAAGGACUGCUUGAUGUAGAACAAAAAAGAAAAGGAUAAAGAAAGAAAUAAAUCCUUAGGGAAAGAUAAAAAAUUCUCAAUAAAUUUAUUAAUCUCAGUAAUAAAUAUAAUCCUAAGCUACUGAAUAAUAGAAAAUUA
rnacentral:misc_RNA from 1 species